GCAGUUGAGCGGCAGCACAGAGGAAUUGUUCCUUGGUGUGGCGAGCGGCGGACGGGUGAGUAAUGCCUAGGAAAUUGCCCUGAUGUGGGGGAUAACCAUUGGAAACGAUGGCUAAUACCGCAUGAUGCCUACGGGCCAAAGAGGGGGACCUUCGGGCCUCUCGCGUCAGGAUAUGCCUAGGUGGGAUUAGCUAGUUGGUGAGGUAAUGGCUCACCAAGGCGACGAUCCCUAGCUGGUCUGAGAGGAUGAUCAGCCACACUGGAACUGAGACACGGUCCAGACUCCUACGGGAGGCAGCAGUGGGGAAUAUUGCACAAUGGGCGCAAGCCUGAUGCAGCCAUGCCGCGUGUAUGAAGAAGGCCUUCGGGUUGUAAAGUACUUUCAGUCGUGAGGAACGGUGUGUGGCGUUAAUAGCGCAGGGAUUUGACGUUAGCGACAGAAGAAGCACCGGCUAACUCCGUGCCAGCAGCCGCGGUAAUACGGAGGGUGCGAGCGUUAAUCGGAAUUACUGGGCGUAAAGCGCAUGCAG
rnacentral:rRNA from 1 species